rnacentral:rRNA from 1 species
UACAGAGGUCUCAAGCGUUGUUCGGAUUCAUUGGGCGUAAAGUGUGCGCAGGCGGCCGCGCAAGUCGAGUGUGAAAGCCCCGGGCUUAACUUGGGAAUUGCGCUCGAAACUACGUGGCUGGAGUGUGGCAGAGGAAGGUGGAAUUCCAGGUGUAGCGGUGAAAUGCGUAGAGAUCUGGAGGAACACCGAUGGCGAAGGCGACUACUUGGCCCAUUCUUGACGCUGAGGCGCGAAAGCUAGGGGAGCGAACGGG